rnacentral:sRNA from 1 species
UUCUUAGAAGUGGAAAUGUGUGUAGCAAUGGGGAUGGUUCCUAAGGCCAAGAAUAAAUGGAUUGCGGCUUGCGGUGCUUUUGGUAGCACUGAGCUUUCUGUUGCAGUGUGUGAGAGGACCCGGGGAGAGCCAAAUCUUCGAAGGGACAGACGAGGGGUAUGACCUGGAGAGCCCACAACCGCCUUUGCUUUUUGCAGAUGCUGGGAACGCAGCUCUGCUGCAGGCGGGGUGGACAGACUCUCCCCCAGCCAUCGCUGCCCACCUGCUGGGUCAGGGCCUCCCCUGCCCAGCUCGGUCUUGGCCAAGCCCAGUCUGGAGGAGCAUGCACCGCCUGUGAGCGGCCUGGGCGGCUCUUCCCAGGUCGCCCAUCAGAUGAGCCCGUCCCAGGUGUGGAGGAGGAGAUCUCCUGAGGGGCACUCUGGGAAAUCCUUCCCCGUAGAAGGACACGUUAGCCUCUCAUUUUGAUGCGUCAUCAAAAUUCUGUUUCCAACACGUUUGAUGAAAGAUUGAAAUAUCUGAAAAUUCAUUUCAAGCACAGGGUCUGGCAUUGUGAUUCUCAGGUGAACUGGGCAUAUGGUUAAGGCAGGACUUGAAAAAAGUGUUUGAACGUCAUUUGGAGCAUUUCAACUGGGCAUUUUAACUGAGCUCCAAAUGAUGUUCAAACACCCCUCUCAGGUAGAGUUUUCAUGGUGGAACGGUUGCGCCCACCAAACAGAAGCUUAUGUUUUUGGCACAGAAGGCCUGGGCCAUUUUCAUGGACACCUGGCUGGACCUCGGUGGAAGUGAACUCCGUAGGUUGUUGCAUUUACUGCAACACCUCACAUGAUACCGUCCCCUCCCAUGGAACGGAGCCUCCCCCGAUGCAGCCCCCACUCAAGUGGAGUUUUAAAGGCUGGGUUCCGGUUACGGAGGCGUUUCUCACUGUCUGAAUGGGGAGGACAGAGACGAGCUCCAGGGAGCCCGGGCGGGUGAUGGCGCUGAGAUGCGUGAUGUCUCAGAACCAUCCUCCCAUCCCUCGGCGCGGGCGCUGACUUUCGCGGCCCUUCCCUCUCUUCCAGGAGCGCUCCAGCUUCGCCCACACACCCCGGGCUGAUGUCCCCUCGCUCCAGCGGCCUGCAGACCCCCGAGUGCCUGUCUCGGGAGGGCUCCCCCAUUCCACACGACCCUGAGUUUGGGUCCAAGUUAGCUUCUGUCCCAGAGUACCGGUAUUCCCAAAGCGCACCCGGCUCCCCCGUCAGCGCACAGCCAGUGAUCAUGGCCGUGCCUCCCCGACCGUCCAGCCUCAUGGCCAAGCCCGUGGCCUACAUGCCCGCCUCCAUCGUAACCUCACAGCAGCCCGCGGGCCACGCCAUCCACGUCGUGCAGCAGGCCCCCACCGUCACCAUGGUCAGGGUGGUCACCACGUCUGCCAACUCGGCCAACGGAUACAUCCUCACCAGCCAGGGCUCGGCGGGGGGCUCCCAUGAUGCGGCGGGCGCAGCCGUGCUGGACCUGGGCAGCGAGGCCAGAGGUAAUGCAGCCGCGGCUGGCAGCCUUCGCAGGACCCUUCCUGGUGGUCCCGGCCAGCAAGUCCCCAAGGCAGCGCCAUUGGCUUGGGCCUGGGGCUUGAGGAGGAUGAUUCUCUGCUUCUGCCUCUCGCUGCCUUGUCCCUUUAAAUCAGCAUGAGCUGGGGAGGUGGCUCAUGCUUAUAAUCCCAGUGCUUUGGGAGGCCAAAGCGGGUGGAUUACUUGAGGUCCGGAGUUCGAGGUCAGCCUGGCCAACAUACUGAAACCCCGUCUCUACUGAAAAUAUAAAAAUUAGCCAGGCACGAUGGUGCGCCCCUGUAGUCCCAGCUACUCGGGAGGCUGAGGGAGGAGAAUCACUUGAAGCCUGGAGGUGGAGGUUGCAAUGAGCUAGAUGGCGCCACUGCACUCCAGCCUGGGCGACAGAGCAAAACCCUGUCUC